CAAUAGCGUAUAUUAAAGUUGUUGCAGUUAAAAGCUCGUAGUUGGAUUUCGGGGCAGCCUGGCUGGUCCGCCGCAAGGCGAGUACUGGUCAGCCGCCCUUCCUCUCGAAAGCCCCGACUGCUCUUUAUUGCAGUGGUCGGGUAGUUCGGGACGUUUACUUUGAAAAAAUUAGAGUGUUCAAGGCAGGCCUACGCCUGAAUACAUUAGCAUGGAAUAAUGGAAGAGGACCUCGGUCCUAUUUUGUUGGUUUCCAGGACCGAAGUAAUGAUUAAGAGGGACAGUUGGGGGCAUUCGUAUUUAAUUGUCAGAGGUGAAAUUCUCGGAUUUAUGAAAGACGAACAACUGCGAAAGCAUUUGCCAAGGAUGUUUUCAUUAA
rnacentral:rRNA from 1 species